UCAUGUCCUCUUUCAGAGGGUUAUCAAGAUAAGGGUCACACAAACAACAGUUCCCAUAUUGGGGCAGACAACGCU